GCAGUAAUGCCAGAGUUUAUGGGCAUGGUUUAGGUCCAUGUUACGACUAUCAUAGUCUUACUGCU
rnacentral:tRNA from 2 species